rnacentral:snRNA from 1 species
AGCUUUGUGCAGUGGUAGUAUCGUAGCCAAUGAGGGUUAUCCGAGGCACGAUUAUUGCUAAUAGAAG